rnacentral:rRNA from 1 species
UUCCAGACUCCUACGGGAGGCAGCAGUCGGGAAUAUUGCGCAAUGGAGGAAACUCUGACGCAGUGACGCCGCGUAUAGGAAGAAGGUUUUCGGAUUGUAAACUAUUGUCGUUAGGGAAGAAAAAAGACAGUACCUAAGGAGGAAGCUCCGGCUAACUACGUGCCAGCAGCCGCGGUAAUACGUAGGGAGCGAGCGUUAUCCGGAUUUAUUGGGUGUAAAGGGUGCGUAGACGGGUAUACAAGUUGGUUGUGAAAUCCCUCGGCUUAACUGAGGAACUGCAACCAAAACUGUAUAUCUUGAGUACAGGAGAGGUAAGUGGAAUUCCUAGUGUAGCGGUGAAAUGCGUAGAUAUUAGGAGGAACACCAGUGGCGAAGGCGACUUACUGGACUGAAACUGACGUUGAGGCACGAAAGUGUGGGGAGCAAACAGGAUUAGAUACCCGUGUAAA